rnacentral:rRNA from 1 species
AGCGCGAUCGCCUUGAGUUGAUCAUGGCUCAGGACGAACGCUGGCGGCGUGCUUAACACAUGCAAGUCGAACGGUAAGGCCCUUCGGGGUACACGAGUGGCGAACGGGUGAGUAACACGUGGGUGAUCUGCCCUGCACUUUGGGAUAAGCCUGGGAAACUGGGUCUAAUACCGAAUACACCUCUCUGGCUGCAUGGCUGGUGGGGGAAAGCUUUUGCGGUGUGGGAUGGGCCCGCGGCCUAUCAGCUUGUUGGUGGGGUGAUGGCCUACCAAGGCGACGACGGGUAGCCGGCCUGAGAGGGUGUCCGGCCACACUGGGACUGAGAUACGGCCCAGACUCCUACGGGAGGCAGCAGUGGGGAAUAUUGCACAAUGGGCGCAAGCCUGAUGCAGCGACGCCGCGUGGGGGAUGACGGCCUUCGGGUUGUAAACCCCUUUCAGCACAGACGAAGCGCAAGUGACGGUAUGUGCAGAAGAAGCACCGGCCAACUACGUGCCAGCAGCCGCGGUAAUACGUAGGGUGCGAGCGUUGUCCGGAAUUACUGGGCGUAAAGAGCUCGUAGGUGGUUUGUCGCGUUGUUCGUGAAAACUCACAGCUCAACUGUGGGCGUGCGGGCGAUACGGGCAGACUAGAGUACUGCAGGGGAGACUGGAAUUCCUGGUGUAGCGGUGGAAUGCGCAGAUAUCANGAGGAACACCGGUGGCGAAGGCGGGUCUCUGGGCAGUAACUGACGCUGAGGAGCGAAAGCGUGNGGAGCGAACAGGAUU